AGGAGAGCGGCUGGAGAGGGUUGCGCGCUCCUCUCCCAGCAAGCGAGAGGCGCGCUCGGGUUGCCGCCGCUCCCGCGCUCCUCCCUCUCCUCUGCACCCACUGUCACGCUACCCGCCCGCGGGGGAGCCUCGAGAGCCUCCAGGUGAAUUGAAAGUCGUUUCCGGGGGAGGACGGAGAGGGUGCUGCAGUCCUGGCAUGCCCUGAAAUUGCAAGUCGGGCAGAAACGACCCGGUGGAGGAGCAGGGCGCCCAGCGCCCUGCGCAGCAUCCCCGGGCUGCUGAAAGAGGCCACCACUCGGCUGGCAGUCGGAAGCGGCAGCCGGACCUCGGCCCCAGACUCGGGCCCCCGGCACGCUCGCCCGGGAGACACCCCUUCCCCCUCUUGCGCAUUUCGCAGUUGUGCUGGUGUGGGGCAUGAGAGCGCGGUGGCUCCAGGUCUCCGCGGAGCAGCUGCCAGUGGGAGAGCGAGGAGAGGCGAGGGGGCGGCAGCCUCGGCCCGAAGACUGUUUCCUUGGGCCCUCAGUCUAAUGCUGUCCACCACCCGUGAGCAAAACUCUUUCUACGGCAAGAAACAUCGAAUAUCUGUAGUGGUUCAUUUUAUCACAGAAAUCUGAAAGACGAAGGCAAGUUCUACUUUCAGAUGCGCAGUUAAAUGGACAGAAACAAUCAGAGGCCUGCAAUCUUUGGAUUCAAUAUGGUAUCUAAUGAAUUGGGAGGAAACUGUGAAAGAGAGCAACCUUUUCUAGCUGAACAGAGAGAUGAUUAACUACGUUGACUACAAAGAGCAGUCAUUGUAAGUUACUGUGGAAAUAUUUUCCAAACCUCUAGGCAAAAGCAUAGGCUCAGUGAAGACAAAUAGUUCUCAGAGUCCUUUUUUUAGGUGAGUCCAUAAGGGAGCUGCAACUUAGGAGCACUCUAAUGGCCUUCUUUUAAUCUUCCUUUACGACACUGAAUUUAAAAAGUAAAAGUCAGGGUUAAGAGAAAAAGCAGUCUUUUAGGAUAGCUUUGUGUUCUUACAUCUCACCCCAAAUUUAAGACCUGGAAAACAAACAGUACACAUGUUCACACACACAUACACACACACUUACUUUAGCAUUGUAUAUCAUAGGAGUUGCUGGCUGUCCUUGGUGACUUAUAGGAACAUUAGAGUAGUUUAAUUCAGCAGACAUAAUUGAAGACAUAUCCUGUUCAAGGCAGUGGACUAAUUACCUUGCUGCAUUAAAAAAAAAAAAUGUCUACAGCAGUCACCUUGAUACUGCCUUCUAACCCCCUUCUAAUCAGUUACCAAAUCCUGUUGACUCUACUGCAAAGACAUUCCCUGUAUUCGUCUGUUUUUGCAUUGCUGUGAAGGGAUACCUGAGGCUGGGUAAUUUGUAGAGAAAAGAGAUGUACUUGUCCAUGGUUCUGCAGGCUGUAUGAGAAGCACGGUGCCAGCAUCUGCUUCUGGUGAGGACCUCAGGAAGAUUCCAGCCAUGGCAGAAGGCAAAGGGAGCCAGUGCCUCUCGUGGCAAGAGUGGGAGCAAGAGAGUGGUUGGGGGAGGUGCACGGCUUUUUAAACAACCAGCUCUCCAUGAACUCAGAGAACUUACUCAUUACCAUAAAGGCAGCAUCAAAACAUUCAUGAAGGAUCCACCCCCAUCCCCAAAGACCUCCCACCAGGCUCCACCUCCAACACUGGGGACUACAUUUCACCAUGAAAUUUGGAGGGGACACACAUCCAAACUCUAUCAUCCCCCUUCACUUCCUUCCAGUUGCCACAGGUGGCUCAGGCCUGCACCACCCCACUGGCUUCUCACCAGGCUCCCCAGGCCAUUCCCCUUCCUUUGAACAUCAGUCUGUCCUUUCAAAUGCAAAUUUAAUUCUGCCAUUGAGAACUCUUCAGUGAUCCCCAGCUGCUCCAAGCAGAACCAUGGAAUCCACCUCAUGUUUUCCAGAGUCCUUUGCGUGCUGGCCCUCGUUUGCCUGGCCAGUGUCCCCACGUGCCCACUUCUGGCUGCCCUGCUCCCCAGUGUCACUUGCUGUCAGUCAUCUCCUCCAACAAGCCCUGUCCUUCCCUGCCUCAUAGUCUUUAUGUACCUGUGUCUUCUGCCUGCACAACUUUUCACCCUGACUUCACCUGGCUAACUCCUAGUCAUCCUUUAGGUUCUUACCUUAAAUGUGAUUUUCUCAAAAGAGAAAUAAAUAAGCCUGGGUAUAGUGACUCACACCUGUGAUCCCAGGACUUUGGGAUGCCAAGGCUGGCAGAUCACCUGAGGUCAAGAGUUCGAGACCAGCCUGACCACCAUGGUGAAACCCCGUCUCUACUAAAAAUGCAAAAAUUAGCCGGGGGUGGUGGUACGUGCCUAUAGUCUCAGCUACUUGAAAGACUGAGGCAGGAGAAUCACCUGAACCUGGGAGGUGGAGGUUGCUGUGAGUCGAGAUCGGGCCACUGCACUCCAGUCUGGGUAACAAACCGAGACUCCAUCUCGGAAAUAAAGAAAUAAAUAAAUCCCAACCCACUUUUCCUUUCUCCUCCCUCCUCCCCAUCCAGGCAUACGCCUUUGAACACCUUUUGCUUUUCUCAUCUAUUUCUCUAUCAUCAUUGUUUAGUUAUAUUCUUAGUUGCAUAAUUAAUUUGCAACCCCCAUAAAAAACAAACCAACAAAUCUUCAGGAGAAGGUGACUGACUCCUAUGUCCUCAGUAUGCCACAUAUGAGAGAUGGUAAAUAUUUCCUAUUCGACAAAUAAAUGACAUUACAUUCCAUUCCCUGAGAGAAUGAUAAUAUUUGCAGUUAACCUCACAUAAAGAAGCAGAAAAAGAAAUACUUUGGCAGUAUAGGUAAGAGAGCCAUUAAUUCCCUGUAGUGGGACUGAGGAAAUCUCCAUAGAAUUAAAGUGGACUUUUAAGGACAAGGAGAAUUAAGAGAUGAAAAACAGAGGGAAGGUCCUGCCUAUUCUGAGAUAAGCACUUGACCAAAGCAGGCAAGCACGUGUCACUUUUGAAGAAUGGUGAGAAGUGAAAUCCAGUUCAAACAUAAGGUGCUGUAGUAGGCUGGGUGGCUGGGAGGAAGAGUGGAUUGAAAGAUGGCUUUGAAUGCCACACCAAAAAACUGCGGCAAGCACAUAGAUAAGAGGCAGGCUUCAAUGUCCUAGUGAGGGAGUGCACAGGAUUUUAGCAGUGCUUUAUAGGUGGGUAAGAAUGAGCCAUGUGAAAAAUAGUGAAAAGCCUGGACUAGGCUCAUAGUAAGUCCAACGAAAGCAGGGAACAAAUUUAAGAGACAGUGCAAAAAGCAAGGUUUCUUUGUAUACUGAAAUCAAAUGCACGUUUAACAUGAGUUUGUUGAGAAAAACGUGACUUUUCCCCUGUGAACAAUUCAUGCUUUUAAAACAACAUUUUCUAAAUUUUCUGGGAAAUGAGAGAAAAAGAGAGACAGAGUGUGAGAGAUUGUUUGGUUGAUUGUUUCUGUUGCAAGAUGAAAAACUUAACCUGAGUGAGUUUAGGCAAAAUGGGGAAUUUACAGGCUCUCAUACCAUGGGAAAGCUGAUUUGCUGAAGCUCUUUUUAUUUCUUGCUGUCUUUCAUCUCUGCUGUACUUUGGGCAUCAGGUUUACUCUCACAGACAGGUUCUUCCUGAGCUGUUUCAUACACAGGUUGUCACCACACUUCUUUUAGGUGCUAGUAGAAUACUAGAGGAAGGUUCUCAGUGACCUAGUAGGGUGUCUCAUCCACUACCAGAGCCUGAAGAUGCGCUCUUGCCAGCCACUCUCUCGAACCGUGGGCCUGACAUUGUCUGCUGGACUGGAUCUCUAAAUAAAGAGACAUUUCAUUAAGGAAAGAAGGAAAAGAUCUGGUGAGGCAAAGCAGUAGAUACUGGCUCCCUAUACUGUGAUCUAUGUGCUGAAUAGGUCAUAUUUGGCAGCUGUAGAUCAACACAGUGUAAGGGAGGAAAAGAUUCCCUUUCUUAGCCAUUCCCUGGUUCAUGGCUGAGGCCUCUAUAAUAAAAGACAGAUAGGCUGGGCACAGUGGCUCAUGCCUGCAAUCCCAGCACUUCGGGAGACUGAGGCAGGAGGAUUAUUUGAGGCUAGGAGUUUGAGACCAGCCUGGGCAACAUAGCAAGGAACUAUCUCAGUUGAAAAAUUAGCCACGUGCAGUGGUGCAUGCCCUUAGUCCCAGCUAUGCUGGAGGCUGAGGCAGGAGGAUUGUUUGAGCCCAAGAGUUCAAGGUUGCAAUGAGUGCUGCACUUCAGUCUAAGUAGCAGAGUGAGACCCUGUCUCUCAAUAAAUAAAUAAAUGCAUAAAUUUAUAAAUGACAGAUAAACAAGAGAAAAACACACACAUUUAUUUAUUUAAUGUAAGUUUUACAUGACAUAGGAGCCUUCCAAAAUGAAGACCCAAAGAAACAGGGAAACUUGUAUAUUUUUAUGCUAAAUUUGAUGAAGAGUGGACAGUCCAUAGGGAGGUAUGAUUGGACAAAGUGGGUAAGAUCUAUUGGUAAUCAACUCGGGGGAGCUUAGCAAGCCCUAUUUGUUCAAAUUCUUCUUGGCAUCUCCAUGUCUUCGAGAAUAAGGAAGUGUCUUUCCUCUGGGUUAUAGGCAGAAUACCUCUGGAAUGAAGGUCUUUUGACCUACUUCAGAGUGGAAGGUCAUAGAAUUCUUUUUUUUUUUUUUUGAGAUGGAGUCUCACUCUGUCGCCCAGGCUAGAGUGCAGUGGCCCGAUCUCAGGUCACUGCAAGCUCCGCCUGCAAGCUCCACCUCCCGGGUUCAUGCCAUUCUCCUGCCUCACGCUCCCUAGUAACUGGGACUACAGGCGCCUGCCACCACACUUGGCUAAUUUUUUGUAUUUUUAGUAGAGAUGGGGUUUCACCGUGUUAGCCAGGAUGGUCUCGAUCUCCUGACCUCGUGAUCCACCCGCCUCAGCCUCCCAAAGUGCUGGGAUUACAGGCGUGAGCCACCGCGCCCGGCCAGAAUUCUUUUAUAGCUUGCUGCAGAAGAGAAGGGUAGGAGGCAAGUCAGAAACACCUUCUUGCUUCUGCUGUUUUCUCAAAAUGCCAUAUUUUGGGGUAUGGUGCCCUGGACCCCAUCAAACUUACGUGUCUCUUCCUGGUAUUCAUUCAUACCUUAUCGUAAUCUAAAAUAUCUUCUUUUGCAUGCCUUGCUUGCAGUUUGAAGAAAAUAGAAAGCCUUUCCCCUCCCCACC
rnacentral:lncRNA from 10 species